rnacentral:rRNA from 1 species
GACGUAGGGCGCAAGCGUUGUCCGGAUUUAUUGGGCGUAAAGAGCUCGUAGGCGGUUUGUCGCGUCGGCUGUGAAAACCUAGGGCUCAACUCUGGGCUUGCAGCCGAUACGGGCAAACUAGAAUCGGUAGGGGAGACUGGAAUCCUGGUGUAGCGGUGAAAUGCGUAGAGAUGCGGAGGAACACCGAUGGCGAAGGGCAGCCCCCCUGGGCUAACCACUGACGCCUCAGGCACGAAAGCGUGGGGAGCAAACAGG